UUACGACCAUAUCACGUUGAAACCGCGGUUCUCGUACAAUCACCGAAGUUAAGCAACGUCAGUACCUAGAUGGGUAACCGCAUGGGAAUACCAGGUACUGUAAG